rnacentral:tRNA from 1 species
UUUUCGAUAGCUUAAAGUUAGAGCAAAGCAUUGAAGCUGCUUAGGUAAUUUAUAAAUUUCGAAGAA